rnacentral:rRNA from 1 species
UACUCGAGUGGCGAACGGGUGGGUAACACGUGGGUGAUCUGCCCUGCACUUCGGGAUAAGCCUGGGAAACUGGGUCUAAUACCGGAUAGGAGCCAUUUUUAGUGUGAUGGUUGGAAAGUUUUUUCGGUGUAGGAUGAGCUCGCGGCCUAUCAGCUUGUUGGUGGGGUAAUGGCCUACCAAGGCGGCGACGGGUAGCCGGCCUGAGAGGGUGGACGGCCACAUUGGGACUGAGAUACGGCCCAG